rnacentral:rRNA from 1 species
UACGUAGGGGGCAAGCGUUGUCCGGAAUCAUUGGGCGUAAAGAGCGUGUAGGCGGUCCGAUAAGUCCGCUCUGAAAGCCCGGGGCUCAACCCCGGGAGGCGGGCGGAUACUGUCGGGCUAGAGUCCGGAAGAGGCAAGUGGAAUUCCUGGUGUAGCGGUGAAAUGCGCAGAUAUCAGGAGGAACACCGGUGGCGAAGGCAGUUCUCUGGGCCGUAACUGACGCUGAGGAGCGAAAGCGUGGGGAGCGAACAGG